AUCCAGUCGACGAGUCCCAAAUAGGACGAAACGCACAUUCUGGAU
rnacentral:hammerhead_ribozyme from 1 species